ACCCGCUGAAUUUAAGCAUAUUAGUAAGCGGAGGAAAAGAAACUAACCAGGAUUCUCCUAGUAACGGCGAGUGAACGGAGAUUAGCCCAUCACCGAAGUCCGGUGCUAUUGCAUACAGGACAAUGUGGUGUUAAGGCAUGUACCUGGGACUGCGAAUCUACCCGAAGUCCAACUCCGAUUGUGGCUUUGGAUAUUGCCCAAAGCGGGUGAGAGGCCCGUACGGGUAGAUUCUUGUUGUUAUGCAGUCCUCAGAUGUGCGUGCUUUCGAGUCGGAUUGCUUGAGAAUGCAGUCCAAAGUGGGUGGUAAACUCCAUCCAAGGCUAAAUACUGGCACGAGUCCGAUAGUAGACAAGUACCGUGAGGGAAAGUUGAAAAGUACUCUGAAGAGAGAGUAAAUAGCACGUGAAGCCGGUUGCAGGGAAGCUGGUGGAGUCAAGCUUCAUGCUUGAGAAAUUUGUGCAAGUAGUAUUUUGUUGAUGUAUCAUGGCCGAUCAACUUGGAAUAAGUUGGCGCAUCGUGCGCUCAAGUCAUCUGGGUAGUGUGUUGUGCUGGUCAUGAUAAACUGCUGCUUGUACUCUAUUUCUUGUUGCAUAAAUCACGGUCUAUAGCCUUGUGUUGACGUGCUGUAUGAUUGUCUAACUGUGCUACGGCAAGCUUUCAGUUUGUCGGGUACAGGAUGGCAGGUUGAGGCUUCGGUCCUUGUGUCUGUUAGUCUCUUAUAGUGGUUUUGACCAGCUGAUAAUCAUGCAGUAUCGUGGCUAUAGUUGUUUUGUUGAUACACAGUUUAUGAGCUGCGUACCAGUAAGAACCGUGAUUCUGAGGUAGACGUUCCACCCGACCCGUCUUGAAACACGGACCA
rnacentral:rRNA from 1 species